GUAAUAUGUGAAUCCUCUUCUGCCCGAGUUUUUGGAUGUUGUGUGUGUGUGUGUCAGUGUCUCUUUAGAAUUUCCGUGAUUGUCUUGAUUUGCGUUUGCAUGUAACAUUUUUUUAUACAAAACUAAUCUACUCAACUAUUUUAUUGUUGUAUUAAUUACAUUUGUUUGCAUUUGCACGUUCUUGUAUAUUUAGGUUUGUUUUCUUUUGACAAAAAUAAAUAACUUUUCCCAAACAAGUGUUUUUUUCAAAUGAAUAAAGAUUGUGCAAAUGCAAUCCCCCAAAGUUGUGCAUGGAAGAUCUAAGGUUUAUUAAGUCUCACUAACAGAGGAUCUUAUAAACUUGCUCUAAUAAAAAGAGUGAAAAUCCAAUAGCAAAAUAAGAUUGACCCCGCUUAACUGUUGCUUGAGACUCAAGUGGUUAUCAGAUGGCGACGACUCCAAUACCUACAAAGCCUGUUCUUUAAAAAUUUAUAUGUUCAAAAUGAUCCACUAUAUGUGAAUAUAAUUGACAUGGAUCAACUUCAUCUUCUAAGCUUGUUUUCAUCAUAUAUAAUGGUCUUCUUGGCUUGUCACGUUUCGCUUAGAAAACAAAAAGGAACGUCACACUUCAAAAGUA
rnacentral:lncRNA from 1 species